rnacentral:rRNA from 1 species
CCUACGGGAGGCAGCAGUGGGGAAUCUUGCACAAUGGAGGAAACUCUGAUGCAGCGAUGCCGCGUGAGUGAAGAAGGCCUUUGGGUUGUAAAGCUCUUUUGUAGGGGAAGAUAAUGACUGUACCCUAAGAAUAAGGUCCGGCUAACUUCGUGCCAGCAGCCGCGGUAAUACGAAGGGACCUAGCGUAGUUCGGAAUUACUGGGCGUAAAGCGCGCGUAGGCCGUUGAGUUAGUUAAUUGUGAAAUCCCAAAGCUUAACUUUGGAACUGCAAUUAAAACUGCUCGACUAGAGUUUGAUAGAGGAAAGCGGAAUACAUAGUGUAGAGGUGAAAUUCGUAGAUAUUAUGUAGAACACCAGUUGCGAAGGCGGCUUUCUGGAUCAACACUGACGCUGAGGCGCAAAAGUAUGGGUAGCAAAGAGGAUUAGAUACCCUCGUAGUCCAUACCAUAAACGAUGAUUGCUAGAUGUUGGAAAUUUAUUUUCAGUAUCGCAGCUAACGCAUUAAGCAAUCCGCCUGGGGAGUACGACCGCAAGGUUAAAACUCAAAGGAAUUGACGG